rnacentral:lncRNA from 12 species
GUUCUUUUUUAGGGGCGAAGAAAAAAACUCAUGAAAUACAAUGUGCUUUCCAAAUACUUAACCGAGGAGAACAUUCACACACGUGUAAGGGAAAUUUAGGGAGAAACCCCAGCCCUCAUAUUCCACUUCUUGGGUUCGUUCUUUGUUUUCCGUUUCCUUCUAUUUUGUGAUUAAAAUUCAGCCUUCCAUUAUUCAGAAGAACAGCCUAAUGUCACCAGGGAAGUGGUGACUGAUGUGGGAUUUCCAGCUUGCGACAAUUCUGCAGACAGGGACUGUUGGGUGAAAUUACUGGCUAUGUGAAGUAUGUCGGCCACAGUACCCGCUGACUUCCUGCCCUCUGACUGUUCACGUGCACCCUUGGCAGCCACAGGCCCCCUCUCACUAUCUAUCGCCUCGUCCAUCCAAACCUGAAAGCUCAUCGAUUAUGUUAACUGUAAGACAGGGCUUUUUAUAAAAGCAUUUUCUACCAAAAUAAUCCAGUGGCAAAGAAUGGGAUUAUUUUGAAGUGCUUCUGGACAUGAAUGCUGUGUGUCCACUGUCCGGCUCCAGCAGCCCGAGUCCAGCAGCACAAGGCAUCUCUGGUCCUUAUGCCCUGCAGAGAAAUCAAAGAAUCCAAGAGCAAGGCCUGGAAUGCCUGGCUGCCUCCCAGCUCUCUUACGAAGAAGUAAAUUCCAUUGUAGUCUCCGGCUCCUUUCCGCACUCUUGGAAUACUGUACGCCAGACCCUCUCUCCCUCCGACAAGCGACUGCUCGGCCACAGCAGGAAGCACAGAAAUCUUAAAACGUAAACUCAGAGUGCUCCCCACAUUUAUUUUCUACCGUCUUACCCGUCUGUCCCGCCAGAGACUGCAGGCGUCGUGACUUUCUCCAUGCUCUGGACUGUCGCAUGGUCCCUGUUGCUAGUGGCUCUUUGAACUGAUCCCAAGCCCAUGUCAGAAAAGCCCUUGAUCGAUUCCCAGUGCCAUCCUGAACAGCAGAUUGGGAUAUCGCACCUUUAAACCGCACGGCCUGGUAAACAAUACAGCAUGUACUCAGCUUCAUAAACACUCCGCGUUGUUACAAAGGGCAUUGCAAACUCAGUGUGAUAGGACUUGACCUUAAAAGCUAUAGACAAUCUAGCGGAGCACAGACGGUUUCAUAAAGUACAAUCACUUCCUGGAAUUCUUGGGCCAGUGCAGUCGGAGCCGUUCAAAUCCUGUUUUCCUUGCAUUGUUUCCUGCAUGUGAAUAUCAUCAGUCUAGCUGGACUGUAACCAUGGCACUUGUAAACAGCCCAGGGGCGACUUCUGAUAAAGGCAUACAGUUUUAAGAAAAAAAAUUUUUUUUUCUCUUAAAGACAAGCCCGAAUCAAACCCUACAAAUGCCAUCUGUCAACUACAAAGCUGACAAAUUGCAGUUUCAAGAGUGCACACAUCCAGACCCAGAGAUGUUUUUAAGUCACCAAAGGAGUCAAAACAGAUGCCCAUACUAUUGAGAGUAGUGUGAACGGGUUUUCACUUUUUAGAAUGUAGAUUUACACAAAUCCCGUAGAGAGGGAGCUGAUGGACACUGACCGGAAUCCUAAGUGAUUCUUUCCAUAGUAUUUUUCUCCUCCAGUGAAUGAGAUUGGGAAAUCAUAAUUGUUCAGUCCUUCAGUUUCUCUGAUCAGUGAUAGGAAGAGAAGAUAUUGAUGUAAACCCCUUGAAAUACUUAGCUUAAGACUGUUACUCUCUAGGAGUUUGACAUCACUGUUGGGCAAUUACAUUCCAGCUGUAUUUGGUACUUGAUGGGUUCCAAUUUAUACUUAGAGAUGAUAUUAAGGGGCAGACAGGCCAAAAUAGACCACUGUAACCUCACAGAAAAUCAAUCCAAAGAUAUACUUUCCAGAUUCGCUAUAAAUGUAUAAAAUUUGCACCUGGUGAAUUAAUCUUGAUUCUUCAGGCUUCUGCAUGAUUGAAAUGUUGGUUGAGCUGACGUUGUAAGUUAAAAAUUUUUAGCAGAUUUAAUAUAUGAUGGCUAUUGAACACGAUACUGACAACAGUAUUUUAAGCUUCUGAGAAGGAUUCCUUAGGGGAGGAAUAAAGAAAAGAGAAGCUCAUAAAACUCUCA